CAGUCGCCGCGGUAAUACGAAGGGUGCAGGCGUUACUCGGAAUUACUGGGCGUAAAGCGUGCGUAGGUGGUGGUUUAAGUCCGUUGUGAAAGCCCUGGGCUCAACCUGGGAAUUGCAGUGGAUACUGGGUCACUAGAGUGUGGUAGAGGAUAGUGGAAUUUCCGGUGUAGCAGUGAAAUGCGUAGAGAUCGGAAGGAACAUCUGUGGCGAAGGCGACUAUCUGGGCCAACACUGACACUGAGGCACGAAAGCGUGGGGAGCAAACAGGAUUAGAUACCCCCGUAGUCCCUGUCUCUUAUAA
rnacentral:rRNA from 1 species